GAACACAGAAGUUAAGCUCUCAAGCGCCGAUGAUACUUGGUGGGAAGCUGCCUGGGAAAGUAGGUCGUUGCCGGUU
rnacentral:rRNA from 1 species